rnacentral:misc_RNA from 1 species
AACGCACAUUGCGCCCGCCAGCACUCUGGCGGGCAUGCCUGUUCGAGCGUCAUUUCAACCCUCAGAACCCCUUGCGGGAUCUGGCGUUGGGGAUUGGCAGCUAGCCAGCCCCUAAAUCUAGUGGCGGUCCCUCCGCGACCUCCCCUGUGCAGUAGUGAUACCUCGCAGCGGGAUAGCAGUCUGACCACGCCGUAAAACCCCCUACUUCUCAAGGUUGACCUCGGAUCAGGUAGGAAUACCCGCUGAACUUAA